UCAAGAAACUUCCACAAUGGGCGAAAGCCUGAUGGAGCGACGUCGCGUGAUGGACGAAGUGCUUCGGCACGUAAACAUCUUUUAUGUGGGAUGAAAUUAUUGACAGUACCACAUGAAUAAGGGGCUCCUAACUCUGUGCCAGCAGGAGCGGUAAUACAGAGGCCCCAAGCGUUAUCCGGAAUCACUGGGCGUAAAGGGUGUCGAGGCGGUUGUAUUAGUCGUUCGUAAAAUCUACGAGCUUAACUUGUAGGCGGCGAACGAAACGGUACGACUUGAGGUUUGGAGAGGUGCGUGGAACUCACGGUGUAGGGGUGAAAUCCGUUGAUAUCGUGGGGAACACCAAAGGCGAAGGCAGCGCACUGGCCAAAAUCUGACGCUCACACACGAAAGCUAGGGUGGCGAAGAGGAUUAGAUACCCCCGUAGUCCCUGAGCGGGCUGGCAAGGCGCAU
rnacentral:rRNA from 1 species